rnacentral:rRNA from 1 species
UACGGAGGAUCCGAGCGUUAUCCGGAUUUAUUGGGUUUAAAGGGUGCGCAGGCGGGAGAUUAAGUCGGCGGUGAAAUUUUGCAGCUCAACUGUAAAAGUGCCUUCGAAACUGGUUUCCUUGAGUGUGGAUGAAGUAGGCGGAAUUUGUGGUGUAGCGGUGAAAUGCAUAGAUAUCACGAGGAACUCCGAUUGCGCAGGCAGCUUACUAAACCAUAACUGACGCUCAGGCACGAAGGCGUGGGGAUCAAACAGGAUUAGAUACCCUGGUA